rnacentral:rRNA from 1 species
AGUGAACGCUGGCGGUAUGCCUAACACAUGCAAGUCGAACGGCAGCACAGUAAGAGCUUGCUCUUACGGGUGGCGAGUGGCGGACGGGUGAGGAAUACAUCGGAAUCUACUUUUUCGUGGGGGAUAACGUAGGGAAACUUACGCUAAUACCGCAUACGACCUACGGGUGAAAGCAUGGGAUCUUCGGACCUUGCGCGAUUGAAUGAGCCGAUGUCGGAUUAGCUAGUUGGCGGGGUAAAGGCCCACCAAGGCGACGAUCCGUAGCUGGUCUGAGAGGAUGAUCAGCCACACUGGAACUGAGACACGGUCCAGACUCCUACGGGAGGCAGCAGUGGGGAAUAUUGGACAAUGGGCGCAAGCCUGAUCCAGCCAUACCGCGUGGGUGAAGAAGGCCUUCGGGUUGUAAAGCCCUUUUGUUGGGAAAGAAAAGCAGCAGGUUAAUACCCCGCUGUUCUGACGGUACCCAAAGAAUAAGCACCGGCUAACUUCGUG